AAAUUCUAAAUGAGGGAAACUUCAUUAGAAAGUCAACAUUACAUUUACAUUUCCAAAAUAUUAUUACAAGUUAACAUUCCAUACAAGAACAACAUUACUAUAAGAGUACAUGAAAAAAUCUAUAUUUGAUCUACAAAUGACUUUUGGUCAACUGUUGACUUUUGGUCAAUUGUUGACUUUUGGUCGAACAGUUGACCAAGUAGUUGACCAAAGUUUGACCUAACCCUGAUUUAACUCUAGACCUAUUUCUAACCUAAUCUCCAAGUCUUCUUCAUCUUCAUCCAUCACCUUGACCAUAUUGCCUCCAUGACCAAAAUUUCAUAGAGUGCCAUGCUUGUAUCACCAAGACUUCAUAAUGCACCAGCCAUCCAAACCUGCACCAGACCUGCAACAUCAAAGUCAAAUCCAUCUCAACCAUGUUCUCAAUGUAGUAUACAUCUCAAUGCAUCUAAGACACAUGACAAAUACAAGUUAAAUGCAAGUAUCAAGAGCUAGAUACAAGCAUUUGUCAUCCAAACAUGUAUAAAACACAACACCAAUUGAAACUUCAAAACAUAAUUUCAAGAAGACAAAUUCAACAUACCACAAUUUUUUGACACAUAAGUCAUAGUGUAGCCCAAACAUGAUUCACAUACACACUUCAGUACAACAACAUUCAUCAUUCCAUACCAUGAGUCAAAACAAUCCAAAACCAUGGUUAACCACAUAAUCACCAUCAACAAACCAAUGUAAUGCAUCUGCCAUGAUUGUGAAAUUCAUAAUAGUUAUUCAAUGCAAUGCAAAUCAUGUUCAGUUUCAAUCAUCCAAAUACACAUUAUCCAACCCGAGCCUAGCACUUAAUCAAAGACUUCAGUCAUGCUAUGCAAUGCAACUACACAUACAUCAUCACACAUACAAAGCAUUCAUCAAGCUCUAAAUCAAAAUUCAGCAUAAUGAUGUCCAUACAAUUCAAUCUACAUUUAGUCAAACAUAACACUAUUAAUCCAUCAUUACAACUCUCAAACAUGAUCCAAAUGCAUAAACAAAACACCAAUUAUGCUAUGCAACUCAAGGUCAUCAUUCGUUACAAUUGUCAUAACUAAUUUAUAAACCAUUAAAAAACCCCUAAUUUAACCAAUCUAACUACCUUUACAUCUAAUUAACAAACUCUUAACCAACAUAAUUACCUUCCCUAAUCAAUUGCCCCAAAGAUAACCAAUUUCCAAAGUUUGUUAUCACAUUUUCCCUCCAAAUAAUUAACUUCAAAAACCAACUAUAUCCAUCUAACAAACUUGAAAAAAAAACCCUCAACUAACUGCCUAACAAACCUGCCACGUGUCCUAGUGAAAUACCCAAAAUUCCCUUGAGCUAGAAAUCCCUCCAAAUUUCAAAUAACUAACUUUCAAAGGCCAAACUAACACAUUCCUACUUCAUUUUUUCAACUAAAAUUAGCACAAAAGAAACACAUUCCUCUCAACUUUCUCACACCCGAACUGACAUACAAUCUAACUUCUCAUCAUCUAUUCUCCACCCUUGAUUAGUUCAAUCCUAGGAUCACUAUACAAAGACUAGAAUUCAAUCUCACUCAAUCCUUAACAGAAUCAGAUAACUUUCCCUAUAAUUUCCUCGACAAUCAUCUAUAUAAACCUAACUUUCACCGUCAUCAUAGGGAUACAAAAAUUACCCUAACAAUACUCUGUUGAAUUCUUCCCUUAACUCACCAUCACCAAAGCUCUCAAAUUCCUCAAUUGCAAGAGCUUUAACACUUACAACUCUUAGCAAUCGAGCUAAAUCUGCAUACACCAAUCUCUUCCAUAACUGAUUUAAUCUUUGUGCUCACUCAUCUAUGCAAAUUCAUGUUUCUAACCUAAUAUCCACACUCUCAUCACUCUUUUAUUCUAUCCUAAUACAUCAACAAUAAUAACAAGCUCACACAAUAAUUUGAAACUAAACCAAGAGAAUCAAAAAUAAGGGGAAGAAAAAGAAGAUUGAGUUUACAAGAACUUACAUAAGCAUUAGAGCCUCCUCUCUGGUCUUUUAUCAUUAUCACCAGCUAAUCGUGUUGCUCUGACCAAGGCACUUCUCAUCCUUGUAGGCAAACAUUGAAACCUCCCUCUUCCAUCUUCUUGGCUUCACUUUUGUUACCAAGUGGUUGAGAGGACUUGUGUGAAUGAAACACCCAUGGUUGCAGCUUGAGGUCAUGAGUGAAAGCCAUUUAAUUUAAGUUCCAAAUGUUCUAGGGUUAAUGUUAAGCUGAGAUUUCAAUGUGUAGGGUUAGUUUCCUGUGUGAUUGAAGCAUGGGUGUGAAUAGGAGAGGGUGGGACGAAUCUAAUGGUGGUGGUUAGGUUUGAUUCUGAGUCGUGCCGCUACCGAAGGCGAUUUUCGGCGUGGUGGCGGCGACUUCAUGUGAUCUUUGAGAGUGAAAGGAGGGAGAGACGAGUCUGAAGGUGAGUUUGCCAAAUGAGAGAGUGUUUCUCUCUUUUCCCUCUUGUUGACUCCUCUCAUGGGCCA
rnacentral:lncRNA from 1 species